rnacentral:misc_RNA from 1 species
AACUGCGAUAAGUAAUGUGCAUUGCAGAAUUCAGUGAAUCAUCGAGUCUUUGAACGCACAUUGCGCCCCCUGGCAUUCCGGGGGGCAUGCCUGUCCGAGCGUCAUUGCUGCCCUUCAAGCCCGGCUUGUGUGUUGGGUCGUCGUCCCCUCCGGGGGACGGGCCCGAAAGGCAGCGGCGGCACCGCGUCCGGUCCUCGAGCGUAUGGGGCUUUGUCACCCGCUCGAUAAGGACCGGCCGGGCGCCAGCCGGCGUCUCCAACCUUUUUUUCUCAGGUUGACCUCGGAUCAGGUAGGGAUACCCGCUGAACUUAAGC